rnacentral:rRNA from 1 species
GACGAACGCUGGCGGCGUGCUUAACACAUGCAAGUCGAACGGAGUGGCGAACGGGUGAGUAACACGUGGGUGACCUGCCCUGCACUUCGGGAUAAGCCUGGGAAACUGGGUCUAAUACCGGAUAGUGUGGGAUGGGCCCGCGGCCUAUCAGCUUGUUGUUGGGGUAAUGGCCUACCAAGGCGGCGCCGGGUAGCCGGCCUGAGAGGGUGGACGGCCACAUUGGGACUGAGCCACGGCCCAGACUCCUACGGGAGGCAGCAGUGGGGAAUAUGACACACUGGGCGGGAGCCUGACGCAGCGACGCCGCGUGGGGGAUGACGGCCUUCGGGUUGUAAACUCCUUUCACCAUCGACGCGGUAGAUGGAGAAGAAGCACCGGCUAACUACGUGCCAGCAGCCGCGGUAAUUC